AAUCAUUACAGCUAAGUUAGUUGAUGGAGCAUCAGGAUUGGACACAGACAGGUGAAGAGGUGAUGGCAUGGCAAGAGAUGCGGCUGUUCACUGAAGCCAUGGAGCGCAUUAACAGAACUUUGGAUACCAAAUCUGCAAAAAGGCAUGUAGCCAGGAUAAAGUUUUUGGAAAGCACAAUUAUGGAGUCCAGGACAAAAUAGCAAUGAACAUCUGGGAUAAGAGACAGUAGACAAAAAAGGACUGAGGAAGGACUGUAUCACCUGAGACUCUGGGAAGGUGCCUAUGUAAAGCCUGUCUUCACCUGAUGUACUUUCACUGCCACAGAAAUAGAAAGCGAAAACCAAAUGGUUUAAAAAAAUGGAAAGAGGUCUCUCUACUCUGAGGGCUUAUUUCAAAAGUCUGAAAUUAAAACCACAACAACAUGGGAAAUCCUGUGAGCACAGGGAGGAGUUGAACUCCUCCUGAUUUAAGUGGGUGCAUUUGGAAAGAACUUGUUUGGAAAACUGCAUAGGUAAUCUCUAACUAGAAUGAGAUGAAAAAGCCAUAUAAUAGAAAGAAAUGUGAAAGUUAUUGUAUGAAAACUGAGGAAAUUAUGUAAAAAACUUGGAGAAGCGUCAACUACCAUUGACCAAUAAACAGUACUGUAUAUGAAAGAGACUAGGACGUAACCAAUUAAUGAGUGGCACAGCUAGAAAAUGAAUCAUGAAAUCAGACAUUACACUGGGCAAUAUGUCUGAAAAAACUAGAACUGAAGUGACUCUGAUAUUCCCAAAACAUUUACUGGAGAGACAUGAAGACCUAGAGAAGAGAGAAUG